AAGACUAUACUUUCAGGGAUCAUUUCCAUAGUUCGUUACCAGAGAAGUUUCUCUGAGCGUGUGGAGCACUGAAAUAUCUAAGA
ensembl:snoRNA U3 Small nucleolar RNA U3